rnacentral:lncRNA from 1 species
UCCAUGUUUGCUCACAUACCAUUAUUAUAACUUUAUACCUGCCUGCCAAUCAACAAUAUGCAAUUAUUAGAUUGAAAAAUAGUUUGUGGCCAAAAUAAUUAUACCAAUUUGUUUACUAUUUCUAGUACUAGUAUUGUUCAACGGACGCGACCAUGACAUAAUUAAAUGGGAAAUAUGAUGUCUUUAAUUUGUUUGAUUUUAUGGGUGAAGUUGAAUCUAUAUAAGGUAGGUAGUUGAGUUGAGUUAAUGAAUUAUGAAACUGAACCUUCCAUGUAUGUAUGGGUCCAAGUACUAGUAAACCAUCAUUUUAGGCACAAACAUGCUUUUGUUUUCGCUUCAAUAAUUUAGUACCAUUUGGUCCUCCUAGUUAUAAUGAUAGCUUCUUUUUAAGUACUUAUGUUUCAUACAUUGAUAUUUAAUUCUCAAAUUAUUCUUUUCCAUUAGUGCAACAUUUUUAUAAAACUUCUUGCUAUAACUUCCUCCCUAGUUAGUUGGCGAUUUUAUUGAAGUCAAUUAUCUCUGUCGUCAAUGACCAAGAUCAUUGACGAAAAUAAGUCAUUGAUCUUGAUCGUUGAAGCAGAUUUUUAAUUGUUGAGAUUCAAAGUUUUUCAUUUGUCAAAGAUGAUGCAUGUGCUCAAUGAUCAUAGUCAAAAUUCCCACCAUAAAAUAUGUACAAUAUUCCUCCAUGGCAUCUUGUAUCAUAGUCAUGGUCAAAAUUCAAAAGCAAAUGAACGAUUAAAAUGGAAUAACAUGAAGAACAUAACUCUGCAAAGGAAAAAAAGGUUAUUGAUGGAUGGGAAUAAAGAUGUGAGUCAAUGGAGUUGAGCCAAGUUGAUGAAGACUCAAAUAUAACUUUCUUUCCCAGUUUCAGUGGCAACACUAUCAAAUCAAAGGUCAUUUCUUAAGCAUCGUCUCUUUUUCAGAAACCAAACCAAACUUUGUUGAAUAAGGUGGGAGGGAGUGUUUGGUGCAAUGGACAUUCAUCCUUUGGAUUCUUAAUGGAACUAGCUAGCUACCAGUUAUUCUCACCCAUGUCAAUCUGUCUUAUCAAGCUCUGAAAAUUUUACUAUUCUAUACGUGAUUUUCUGUGGGAAUGUGACAUAUUAUAAGUGAAAGAUCACAAAAUAACAAAUAAAAAACAACAAUUCUGCCAGCCCUCGUGAAAAAGCAGACUUCUUUUGGAGUACAUUAUUGUGUCCACAUCAGUUGGUAUUUCAAGUGUGAGCUGAUUCUCACAUCGGAUGAAACAGUGAAUGUUGAAUGAUUUAUAAGUGAAAGCAUCCAUAAAUCUAACGACUUAAGGUUUUUGGUUAAAGUGCGAUGUCAAACUCAUUUGUAUACUUAUUCAAAGUCCGAGAUGUGAUGAUCCUCAGACCCCUCAUGACUCAAGACCACUUAAUAUUUUUAAGAUCUUGUUAACAAGUGCGUCUUAUUCGAACACUUGUUAAAUUUUAAAAGUGGAAAUAACCGAUUUGUUUUUAAGAGGUUAAAUAUACAAUUUAAAAAAAAAACUACAUUUAGUUCUUAUAGGUUUAAAAACUCAAAAUAUGCUCGUUUAAGUCUUUAGGUUCAAAUUGGUGUCAAUUCUUGUGUUUGGUCGAUCCAUACAGACAAAGUUUUGUCCCGACUUCAAAUGAAUUUAUGUUCAUAGACUAUGAGAAUAGUGUUUAUUAGUCAUUGAUAAGGAUUCCGAAUUUAAGAAAGAAAAAAAAAAUAGGAAUGGUAGUAGUAAGUAAUGAAAGGGAUUUGAAAGAAGAACCAAGUACAGUAUAUAAGUUGAGAGGUACCUAUGAGUAUGGUGCCAUACCAUGGUGUGUGGUGGUGACUUGUAGAGGAUGUUUGUGAAUGGAGGCUUUCUUUUGCCAGUUUUUCACUUUUACCACAUUUGAUACAAACAACACUGACAAUACUCUAGCUAGCCAAAGCAACUCUGUUACUCUGUUUCACCCCCUCGUGUGUGUUUGUACUGUUAUUUUUC